rnacentral:snRNA from 1 species
GUGUUUGCUUCAGCAGCACAUACACUAAAAUUGGAAUCUUUAGAGAAGAUUAGCAUGGCCCCUGCUCAAUGAUGACAUGCAAAUUAAUGAAGCAUUCUAUAUUUUU